rnacentral:rRNA from 1 species
UACGUAGGGUGCAGGCGUUAAUCGGAAUUACUGGGCGUAAAGCGUGCGCAGGCGGUCGUGCAAGACAGAUGUGAAAUCCCCGGGCUUAACCUGGGAACUGCAUUUGUGACUGCACGGCUGGAGUGCGGCAGAGGGGGAUGGAAUUCCGCGUGUAGCAGUGAAAUGCGUAGAUAUGCGGAGGAACACCGAUGGCGAAGGCAAUCCCCUGGGCCUGCACUGACGCUCAUGCACGAAAGCGUGGGGAGCAAACAGG